rnacentral:lncRNA from 1 species
CUUUUACUUUAUUCUAGAAAAUCCAUUUGAACAAACUCAGGGAGAUAGUGAAGGACAGGGGAGCCUGGCAUGCGGCCGCCCAUGGGGUCACAAAGAGUCGGAUAUGACUUAGCGAAUGAACAACAAAGAAAAUCUGUAUCUUGGUAUGUAAACACUCUGAAACUUAUAUCUGUAUCUAUAUCACUUAUAUUUAUAUAUAGUCUUUAUUAUCCACAGACAUGCGUACAUUCCUCAUUUGGCCACUACUCACCUUUGAGGACUUGCUGGGUUAAUUCUCUGCUGCCACACUAGUGAGGUCUUGCCUGUGCAAAUAAGGAACCAUGUUUACCAAGGAGAUUGCUGAAAGACACAAGCUUCUGGAGAGCCAUGUCCCUGUGGUAAACCAGAGCCUGGUGUUACCAGUGACUCUCCACCUAAGAAAUCCCCUGAGAACCCAGAAACCAAGGAGCCCCAGUUCCCUCCAGAGAAAGACAUGCUUCACCCUUGGAGAAGUUUCAGCUCUGCUUUUGGUGAUCAAUGAAUGCCUCAAGUCCUGCUCAACUCUGUUUGCUCCAUUCUGGCUGCAACUUCGUGUGGGUCUAACAAGUCUAAUUAGGAUUUCAUCUGACAGGCUUCACAAGUCUAUCCUUCAAAAACCCAAAUAA